AUACGGAGGAUCCGAGCGUUAUCCGGAUUUAUUGGGUUUAAAGGGUGCGCAGGCGGCCAUUUAAGUCAGCGGUUAAAUCGUGGGGCUCAACCCCAUUCUGCCGUUGAUACUGGGUGGCUUGAUUGCGGUCGAGGUUGGCGGAAUUUGUUGUGUAGCGGGGAAAUGCAUAGAUAUGACGAAGAACACCGAUUGCGUAGGCAGCUGACCAGACCGCAAAUGACGCUCAUGCACGAAAGUGCGGGGAUCGAACAGGAUUAGAUACCCUGGUAGUCCGCACAGUAAGCGAUGAAUACUUGUUUUCGGCGAUAUAAUGUCGGAGGCAAAGCGAAAGCGAUAAGUAUUCCACCUGGGGAGUACGCCGGCAACGGUGAAACUCAAAUGAAUUGGCGGGG
rnacentral:rRNA from 1 species